GACAGAGGGGGCAAGCGUUGCUCGGAAUCACUGGGCGUAAAGGGCGCGUAGGCGGCCACCGCAAGUCGACUGUGAAAUCUCCGGGCUUAACCCGGAAAGGUCAGCCGAUACUGCGGGGCUAGAGUGCAGAAGGGGCAACUGGAAUUCUCGGUGUAGCGGUGAAAUGCGCAGAUAUCAGGAGGAACACCAGCGGCGAAGGCGGGUAGCUGGGCCAACACUGACGCUGAUGCGCGAAAGCUAGGGGAGCAAACGGG
rnacentral:rRNA from 1 species